CUACUGAUGACGAAUCCCACACUAGGACGAAACACCUGUCCAGUAC
rnacentral:hammerhead_ribozyme from 1 species